CACACACGAACCUGUACAUGAGUGCUCAUAGCAGCUUUACUUAUAAUAGCCAAAAAGUGGAAACAACCCAAAUCUCCACCAGCUGAUGAAUGAAGAAACUAAAUGUGGCAUAUCCACACAGUGAAAUAUUAUUUGGUAGGAAAGGGAAUGAAAUUCUGAUACUUGUUAUGGUACAGAUGAGCCCUGAAAACCAGCAAGGAAAAUCCACAGAGACGACAAAGUAUACAGUGGGCGCCAGGGACUUCUGGAGUGAAACACAGAAGCACCGACUCUGCUGUGCCAGGCCCACCGUGGCCCACCAAGGAAACCCGCUCCUUUCGUGUUGGAAGUCCCCCUGUGCAAGGAUGCCCAACUGCUGGGCCACAAGAACUGCUGCUCCGUCUGUCCUGAAGGGCAUGAUUCGACCACAAAUAUUAUGGGCAGAAAAGGCAACACAGCAGACUCUGUGGAGAGACAGUUACUUUCAGGUAGG